rnacentral:rRNA from 1 species
UACGUAGGUGGCAAGCGUUGUCCGGAAUUAUUGGGCGUAAAGGGCUCGUAGGUGGCCAACUAAGUCAGACGUGAAAUCCCUCAGCUUAACUGGGGAACUGCGUCUGAUACUGGAUGGCUUGAGUUUGGGAGAGGGAUGCGGAAUUCCAGGUGUAGCGGUGAAAUGCGUAGAUAUCUGGAGGAACACCGGUGGCGAAGGCGGCAUCCUGGACCAACACUGACACUGAUGAGCGAAAGCCAGGGGAGCAAACGGG